GACGAACGCUGGCGGCGCGCUUAACACAUGCAAGUCGAGCGAAGCGGCGGACGGGUGAGUAACACGUGAGUAACCUGCCUUAGACAUUGGGAUAGCCUCGGGAAACCGGGAUUAAUACCAAAUGGUCUAAGAUGGACUCGCGUCCCAUUAGCUAGUAGGUGGGUAAUGGCCUACCUAGGCAACGAUACAUAGCCGACCUGAGAGGGCGACCGGCCACAUUGGGACUGAGAUACGGCCCAAACUCUACGGGAGGCAGCAGUGGGGAAUAUUGCACAAUGGGGGAAACCCUGAUGCAGCAACGCCGCGUGCGGGAUGACGGCCUUCGGGUUGUAAACCGCUUUCAGCCAUGACGCGGUAGUGGCAGAAGAAGCACCGGCUAACUACGUGCCAGCAGCCGCGGUAAUAC
rnacentral:rRNA from 1 species